rnacentral:sRNA from 1 species
UACAACCAUGUGCCAACAUCCCCGAUCGGAAAUAAAAACAGGGCUAUACCGCUUUGCACUGGGCAGCCAAGCACGGAAACGAAGAUGUGGUUAAGCUAAUUGCCGGCACCUACAAGGCGGAUGUGAACGCCAGAACGAACGGGGGAUACACGCCUCUACAUUUGGCCACCCA